GUGCUUGGGCGAGAGUAGUACUAGGAUGGGUGAACCCCUGGGAAGUCCCCGUGUUGCACAC
rnacentral:rRNA from 1 species